AGAGUUUGAUCCUGGCUCAGGACGAACGCUGGCGGCGUGCUUAACACAUGCAAGUCGAACGGUGAACCUGCUUCGGUGGGGGAUCAGUGGCGAACGGGUGCGUAACACGUGGGCAACCUGCCCUCAGCUCUGGGAUAACUCCAAGAAAUUGGGGCUAAUACCGGAUAUGACCGCUGACCGCAUGGUCUGGUGGUGGAAAGAUUUAUCGGCUGGGGAUGGGCCCGCGGCCUAUCAGCUUGUUGGUGGGGUAGUGGCCUACCAAGGCGACGACGGGUAGCCGGCCUGAGAGGGUGACCGGCCACACUGGGACUGAGACACGGCCCAGACUCCUACGGGAGGCAGCAGUGGGGAAUAUUGCGCAAUGGGCGAAAGCCUGACGCAGCGACGCCGCGUGGGGGAUGACGGCCUUCGGGUUGUAAACCUCUUUCAGCAGGGACGAAGCGGAAGUGACGGUACCUGCAGAAGAAGCACCGGCCAACUACGUGCCAGCAGCCGCGGUAAUACGUAGGGUGCAAGCGUUGUCCGGAAUUAUUGGGCGUAAAGAGCUCGUAGGCGGUUCGUCGCGUCGGCUGUGAAAUCCCGAGGCUCAACCUCGGGUCUGCAGUCGAUACGGGCGGACUUGAGUUCGGCAGGGGAGACUGGAAUUCCUGGUGUAGCGGUGAAAUGCGCAGAUAUCAGGAGGAACACCGGUGGCGAAGGCGGGUCUCUGGGCCGAUACUGACGCUGAGGAGCGAAAGCGUGGGGAGCGAACAGGAUUAGAUACCCUAGUAGUCC
rnacentral:rRNA from 1 species